UAGGGAAUCUUCCGCAAUGGACGCAAGUCUGACGGAGCAACGCCGCGUGAGUGAAGAAGGAUUUCGGUUCGUAAAACUCUGUUGUUAGAGAAGAACAGCGCAUAGAGUAACUGUUAUGCGUGUGACGGUAUCUAACCAGAAAGCCACGGCUAACUACGUGCCAGCAGCCGCGGUAAUACGUAGGUGGCAAGCGUUGUCCGGAUUUAUUGGGCGUAAAGCGAGCGCAGGCGGUCAAUUAAGUCUGAUGUGAAAGCCCCCGGCUCAACCGGGGAGGGUCAUUGGAAACUGGUUGACUUGAGUGCAGAAGAGGAGGGUGGAAUUCCAUGUGUAGCGGUGAAAUGCGUAGAUAUAUGGAGGAACACCAGUGGCGAAGGCGACUCUCUGGACUGUAACUGACGCUGAGGUUCGAAAGCGUGGGUAGCAAACAGG
rnacentral:rRNA from 1 species